CCUACGGGGGGCAGCAGUGGGGAAUUUUGGACAAUGGGCGAAAGCCUGAUCCAGCAAUGCCGCGUGCAGGAAGAAGGCCUUCGGGUUGUAAACUGCUUUUGUACGGAACGAAACGGUCUGCUUUAAUACAGUGGGCUAAUGACGGUACCGUAAGAAUAAGCACCGGCUAACUACGUGCCAGCAGCCGCGGUAAUACGUAGGGUGCGAGCGUUAAUCGGAAUUACUGGGCGUAAAGCGUGCGCAGGCGGUUGUGCAAGACAGGUGUGAAAUCCCCGGGCUUAACCUGGGAACUGCACUUGUGACUGCACAGCUAGAGUACGGUAGAGGGGGAUGGAAUUCCGCGUGUAGCAGUGAAAUGCGUAGAUAUGCGGAGGAACACCGAUGGCGAAGGCAAUCCCCUGGACCUGUACUGACGCUCAUGCACGAAAGCGUGGGGAGCAAACAGGAUUAGAUACCCCAGUAGUC
rnacentral:rRNA from 1 species